GACGAACGCUGGCGGCGUGCUUAACACAUGCAAGUCGAACGGAAAGGCCUCGUUCGUGGGGUACUCGAGUGGCGAACACGUGAGUAACACGUGAGUAACCUGCCCUUGACUUUGGGGUAACUUCAGAGAACUGGGGCUAAUACCGGGUAUGGGCUCCCCCUCCGUAGGGUGGGUGGGGAAGUUUUGGCGGUGGGGGGGGGACUCGCGGCGUAUCUGCUUGUUGGUGGGGGAGUGGCUUACCAAGGGGUUGACGGGUAGCCGGGCUGGGAGGGUGAGCGGGCCAAUUGGGGAUGAGAUAACGGCCCGACCCCCACGGGAGGCAGCAGGGGGGAAUAUUGCACAAUGGGUGGAAGGCCGAUGGCGCAACGGCGGGGGGGGGAUGACGGGCUUUGGGUUGUAAACCGGUUUCGGCCAUUAAGAAGCUUUGUGUGACGGUAGUGGGUAAAGAAGCACCGGCUAACUACGUG
rnacentral:rRNA from 1 species